AUUAACAGGAUUAGAUACCCUGGUAGUCCAUGCCGUAAACGUUGGGCACUAGGUGUGGGGGGCAUUCCACGUUCUCCGCGCCGUAGCUAACGCAUUAAGUGCCCCGCCUGGGGAGUACGGUCGCAAGGCUAAAACUCAAAGGAAUUGACGGGGGCCCGCACAAGCGGCGGAGCAUGCGGAUUAAUUCGAUGCAACGCGAAGAACCUUACCAAGGCUUGACAUACACCAGACCGUCCUGGAAACAGGUCCUCUUCUUUGAAGCUGGUGUACAGGUGGUGCAUGGUUGUCGUCAGCUCGUGUCGUGAGAUGUUGGGUUAAGUCCCGCAACGAGCGCAACCCUCGUUCUAUGUUGCCAGCACGUGAUGGUGGGAACUCAUAGGAGACUGCCGGGGUCAACUCGGAGGAAGGUGGGGAUGACGUCAAAUCAUCAUGCCCUUUAUGUCUUGGGCUUCACGCAUGCUACAAUGGCUGGUAUAGAGAGAGGCGAACCCGUGAGGGCAAGCGAAUCCCUUAAAGCCAGUCUCAGUUCGGAUCGUAGUCUGCAAUUCGACUACGUGAAGUCGGAGUCGCUAGUAAUCGCAGAUCAGCAACGCUGCGGUGAAUACGUUCCCGGGCCUUGUACACACCGCCCGUCAAGUCACGAAAGUCGGUAACACCCGAAGCCGGUGGCCUAACCGUAAGGAGGGGGCCGUCUAAGGUGGGACUGGUGAUUGGGACUAAGUCGUAACAAGGUAGCCAAU
rnacentral:rRNA from 1 species